UACGAAGGGUGCAAGCGUUACUCGGAAUUACUGGGCGUAAAGCGUGCGUAGGUGGUUUGUUAAGUCUGCUGUGAAAGCCCCGGGCUCAACCUGGGAAUGGCAGUGGAUACUGGCAAGCUAGAGUGCGGUAGAGGGGUGUGGAAUUCCCGGUGUAGCGGUGAAAUGCGUAGAGAUCGGGAGGAACACCAGUGGCGAAGGCGGCACCCUAGACCAGCACUGACACUGAGGCACGAAAGCGUGGGGAGCAAACAGG
rnacentral:rRNA from 1 species